UGCCUUGUGGUGUAAUGGUAGCACAUCGGAUUCUGGUUCCGCUUGUUUGGGUUCGAGUCCUAACAAGGCAAC
rnacentral:tRNA from 1 species